rnacentral:tRNA from 1 species
GUUAAUGUAGCUUAAUACCAAAGCAAGGCACUGAAAAUGCCUAGAUGAGUUUUCCCACUCCAUAAACA